rnacentral:rRNA from 1 species
GACGAAGGAUGCAAGCGUUAUCCGGAUUCAUUGGGCGUAAAGAGCUCGUAGGCGGCUUGUUGCGUCAGCUGUGAAAACCCGCAGCUCAACUGUGGGCUUGCAGCUGAUACGGGCAGGCUUGAGUUCGGUAGGGGAGACUGGAAUUCCUGGUGUAGCGGUGAAAUGCGCAGAUAUCAGGAGGAACACCUAUGGCGAAAGCAGCUGCCUGGGCCUUUACUGACGCUAAGACUCGAAAGCUAGGGGAGCAAACAGG